rnacentral:tRNA from 1 species
GUAGUAAUUCGCUCAGCGGAUAGAGCACCAUUUUGACUAAGUGGCUGGUCGUAGGUUCGAAUCCUACUAAUUAUU